rnacentral:lncRNA from 1 species
GGUUCGUUCGUUGGUUCGUUCGUUCGUUCGUUGAGCAGUACGUGACGCUUCCGCCGGUGAGGGGCUCUUGGCAAAACACGCGAAAGAGAGAGAGAGAGAGA